rnacentral:rRNA from 1 species
AUGAAACAAUUCUGGAAGUGGAGUAAAAUAAAGCACAGCUCAGCUCGGCAACUCAGGAGGUCGUACGUAAUAAAUUACAAAAUGGAAGCAUCCUACCGACGAGACCAAAAUCAACCAAGAAGAGCUAGUAGCUCAUUCGCCGCUCGUCGGCGCCUUGGGCGGCGCCGGCGCCGGCCAGACGCUGAUCCGCUCCUUCUCGUACUUGACGUACACGGUGCCGGCCGCGACGAUCGUGUACACCUGCAGGAACAGCGUGGGCGCCUGGUGGUACUUCACCAGGGAUUUGCCGGAGCCGAGCUCCACCAGCAGCAGCGCGGUGAGGCCCACCGUGGCCAGCAGGCCGUUGAGCCGCUCGCUGUAGGCGGUGAAGCCGAACUCCACGGGCAGGCCGAGGGCGGACCGCGGCUCCCGCAGCGGCACCGGCGGCAGCGUGACGGCGUUGGACUCGGCGGCGGCCUUCCUCUUGCGCGCCCCGGCGCUGCCCCGCUUCUUGGGCCCGACGCGGGACUUCAGCUGCAGGACGCGCUUCUCGAACUCCUCGUCGGCGGCGGGGGCGGUGGCGACCGGGGCCGGCGUCUCCGGCCCGGCGGCGGCGUCAUCGCCGGAGCUUGCUCGGAGAGGCGCGUGGAGGCGGCCGUGCCAGAGCGGGGCGCGGAGGGUGGGGACGGAGAAAGGGCUGGAGAGCGGCGUCGCCAUUGCUCCCUUGGGCGCAUGUGUGCACCAGCACUUCAUGGUCGCGCGGCUGCUUGGUUGGCUCCCGUCCUGGUUUGCCGCUGGUUUUGGAUAACUUUCGGUGGUCGAUGCGUGGCUCCGGUGCAUGCACGGGGCCUUGAAAGCUGCCGCACGUUGCAAAAUGGAAAUUGUAGGCGUGUCAAGUGUUUGCUCGAGAGGAAAAUCGGGGUUUGCCAAAAAAAAAGAGGGGGAAAAAUUGGGAGCGAAAAGAUAAUAACCAGAAAAUCGGUGUGUUUCUAG